GUCUGGUGCCAGCAGCCGCGGUAAUUCCAGCUCCAAUAGCGUAUAUUAAAAUUGUUGCAGUUAAAAAGCUCGUAGUUGAAUUUCUGCCGCAUCGCGGCGGCCCUCCCGGGCCCAGCGUUGCGGCUUAUUUCGGACUCGCUUGCGUCUCCGAAUGUUUACUUUGAGAAAAUUAGAGUGCUCAAAGCAGGCCCUUGCCUUGAAUACUUUAGCAUGGAAUAAUAAAGUAGGACUUUGGUUCUAUUUUGUUGGUUUAGCGCCAAAGUAAUGGUUAAUAGGAACAGUUGGGGGCAUUCGUAUUUAACUGUCAGAGGUGAAAUUCUUAGAUUUGUUAAAGACGAACCACUGCGAAAGCAUUUGCCAAGGAUGUUUUCAUUAAUCAAGAACGAAAGUUAGGGGAUCGAAGACGAUCAGAUACCGUCGUAGUCCUAACCAUAAACCAUGCCGACUAGAGAUUGGAGGUCGUCAGUUUUUACGACUCCUUCAGCA
rnacentral:rRNA from 1 species